GUGCUUGCUUCGGCAGCACAUAUACUAAAAUUGGAACAAAACAGAGAAGAUUAGCACGGCCCCUGCACAACAAUGACACGCAAAUUCAUGAAGCAUUCCAUAUUUAA
rnacentral:snRNA from 1 species